AGAAAAAGGCAUUUGUAGCAGUUGAGAGAGUUCAGAGGACAAAGGCCCAGGGCAUCCAGGAGCCAGAAGUGCUAACGCUCAUUUGGUAUUUUCCCCUUUCCACCAGCAUAAGGCAUUUUGAAAAAUGAAACAGAGUGAAGUAAUACAACAACUAUCUGAAGCCAGUGCAGCUGCAGGAACGUUCUGGAAAAGGGCCUCUCCGUACCGCUGAGAUCCUUGAGCUGCUUUCUGAGGCUAUCUUGCUGAUCACCAUCUCGUUGGAGAUGUUUGGUCUUCUGCUCUCUCACUCCAACUCCUUGUUUAGUUAAUGUACCUUGUCAUGGUUUCCCAGAAAGAAUUUAAUUCUAAAACCAAGAAGUACUUACUGCACGUAGACGCCGUCGCACUGGGAUAGAUCUGUUUGUCUUUCUUCCCUUUUUUUAAAGGAAGGAAGAAGUACCUGUGCCAAACACUGGAUUGCCCUGGGGCCCAACUUGAUUGGACUGCUGGAUACCUUGUCUUCCAGCCACUGAUGGCAGGAGGAGUAACCACGGCACAGCAGAAGCGGGCAGCCAGCCUCAGCCCACGCCUCCCUGCUGCUCCCACGCCUGAGGAAAAUGUUCCCUGUUGAGAUGCUCACUGCUGCCCUGGGCUUCCUCUUGCAGACACACCGACCUCUGGUAUGAUCCAAAGGUAAAGUUGUUAAAAAUUUUAGAAAAAGCAAGAUGGAAGGAUUUAACAGCUCCUAUGCAAGAAAAUAAGAGCACACUGGCCUUAAGGCUGCUCCUCUGUUCAGGGAAUUACCAACAGACAGAUUGCAACAAUCACCUUCCUUCUAUAGUAACCAACCACAUUUUCUGUGAAGAUGAUUUUGGAUUCCAGUAAGUUUAAAAAAAAAAAAAGUUACUGUUGGUUCCCCCCACCCUUCCUCCUCUUCCCAUUUUUCCAAGAACUCAGUAUUGACCUGUGUGCCUGUUUGUACCAUUUGCUGAAGUCAUCCAGUGUAUGGUUGGAGUCAUGCAAAGGAAGCCUUGUGGCAGUCCCUGUGUGUACCUGCUGUUGGCCCUGAGGCUUUGCUUCUUUGCAGGCUCAGGAAAGGCUCUGCUGUUCUUUUCCUGCUCUGGGGUCCAAAUCUCCACAGCUCUGUUUCUUUCCCUCUGUUGCCAUGGCCCUUGCAGGGGAUCCUUAAGCUCUUGCUCAGUUGCACCCUUUCC
rnacentral:lncRNA from 1 species